CUUGCGGACAUGUGCGGACAUGAACCAGGAUAGCUCGGUCACCAUUGGGAUUUUCAGCUACAUAGAACCACGGAGAACCUAGAAGGACAUAUGCUCAUCACUCUGCAACUUUGAGUCCACAGCUGAUAGGAGUUUUUUGAAGCACCUUCUUCCAUUUGAGAUGGCCACCCCAGUGAAGCUGCGGAUCAUCUUUGGCGAGGAUGACAUUCGCAAACUAGUUCUGCCUUCAGGCAUCCCAGGCACAAUUCAGGACCUCACUGAUGUUAUUCAAGAGACAUUUCGCAUUACAGGAUCAUUCACUGUACUGUAUCAGGACAUGGAUUUUGGUGGUCAGUUUUUCACUUUGACCUCAAUUGAGGAAGUACAAGAUAAGGCUACCCUCAAACUUGUAAUGGCUGAAUCAGUAGUCUUAACUCUCAGCCCUGUAGAAUCCCUAGUACCCCAGUCUUCUGAUGCAAGCUCUUGCCAUUCAUCUGGAUCUCAGGACACAAUCCUGCUUUCCCACCAAGAUGAAAGUGGAACAUCUUACAGAUCUAAGCCAUGGCCAACUAAUUUUGAAAUACCACCUUUUUCUUAUGAUGUUGAACUUGUACUGGAAGCUGGAAACCAGGCUUAUGAAAAGGAAGGCACACUGUUGAUCAACCCGAGAGUAACAAGUAGCAUACUUGACAAGCUAUCAGAGAAAAUAUUUUGCUUCACAGCAUACCCAACUGGUGUCCAGAUUUUAGCUGUAGCUAAAGCCUUGGUAGAAAAGUACCCAUGCCUCAAAGAGCCAGGGUCUUUUAAUGGCUUAUAUGGCUGGCAACAGAGGAUCAAGUAUAAAAUGGGCAAUUACCGGGCAAAGUUAAGAAGUUGCCAGCUAGCUUUUCCAGAACUGGAGGUUAACACACUGAAGAGACGAUGCGCCAAUGAAGAAGGUUCCUCUAAAGGCAUCAAAAGGCCAAAGAAAGCUGAAGUGAACUACCUGCCACCACUGCCAUUAGGUGAGACAGAGGAAACUUUAGAGAAGGAGAGACUAGAUUUGCUCAAGGAAAUAAAGAAGAAGAACAAUGGGAAGA